UCUACGGGAGGCAGCAGUAGGGAAUUUUCGGCAAUGGGGGAAAUCCUGACCGAGCAACGCCGCGUGAAGGAAGAAGGACUUCGUUCUGUAAACCUCUGUUAUAAAGGAAGAAAGACGGAUGGAGGAAAUGACAUUCCAUUUACGGUACCUUACGAGAAAGCCACGGCUAACUACGUGCCAGCCGCCGCGGUAAUACGUAGGUGGCAAGCGUUAUCCGGAAUUAUUGGGCGAAAAGCGGGAGCAGGCGGCAGCAAAGGUCUGUGGUGAAAGACUGAAGCUUAACUUCAGUAAGCCAUAGAAACCGGGCAGCUAGAGUGCAGGAGAGGAUCGUGGAAUUCCAGGUGUAGCGGUGAAAUGCGUAGAUAUAUGGAGGAACACCAGUGGCGAAGGCGACGAUCUGGCCUGCAACUGACGCUCAGUCCCGAAAGCGUGGGGAGCAAAUAGGAUUAGAUACCCCUGUAGUC
rnacentral:rRNA from 1 species